rnacentral:rRNA from 1 species
AUUGAACGCUGGCGGCAUGCUUUACACAUGCAAGUCGAACGGUAACAGGUUAAGCUGACGAGUGGCGAACGGGUGAGUAAUGCAUCGGAACGUGCCCGAUCGUGGGGGAUAACGUAGCGAAAGUUACGCUAAUACCGCAUACGAUCUGAGGAUGAAAGCGGGGGACCGUAAGGCCUCGAGCGAUCGGAGCGGCCGAUGUCAGAUUAGGUAGUUGGUGGGGUAAAGGCCCACCAAGCCGACGAUCUGUAGCUGGUCUGAGAGGACGACCAGCCACACUGGGACUGAGACACGGCCCAGACUCCUACGGGAGGCAGCAGUGGGGAAUUUUGGACAAUGGGCGCAAGCCUGAUCCAGCAAUGCCGCGUGCAGGAAGAAGGCCUUCGGGUUGUAACUGCUUUUGUACGGAGCGAAAAGGCUCUCUCUAAUACAGGGGGCUCAUGACGGUACCGUAAGAAUAAGCACCGGCUAACUACGUGCCAGCCGCCGCCGUAA